CCCCCGCCCCGCGACAGCGUGGGGCAGCGCUUGGCCGAUGGGCCCUGUGCUCCGGGGACCUGCUUUGGCGGGGGCGGGGGGAGGGGGCAGCGUUGGACAAACUGCGUGACGUUGGCUGAGUUCCUUUGCCUCUCUGAGACUGGUUUCCCAUAUGCAAACCAGGGCUAAUUACGGCACCCACCUCAUCCGGCUGCUGUGUGGAUUAAACCAGUUCAUGUAAGUAAAGGGCUUCGAGCUCAACAGUAAGUACCCGGUAAGUGUUAUUGUGGUUGCAGUGAAGGGCUGAGCCAGGGGUUCUAGAAACCCUCCAGCUCAGCACCUGCCCUCCAGCCGGAGCUGCUGCACCAUGUGCGUGCGUGUGUGUAUAUGUCUGUCUUGUGUGUGUGUGUGUGUGUGCUUAUCUAUCUGUGUGUGUAUCUGUGCAUGUGUGCGUCUGCAUGUGUGUCUGUAUCUGCGUGUGUCUGUGUGUGUGUGUGGGUGCACACGUGUGUGGGGCGGCUGUUGGAGUCUGUGCAGUGCUGCUGGGAGUGGCCUAGGAGGUGGCUCCGCCAGACCAAACAACCCCAGUGCUUCAAGCUCCAGGCUUUUCUCUGACUCUGUUUGCUUUCUUUCUCUCCUUUCCGGUUCCCCUUUAACUGGUUCCUGCUUCCAGUGAGCAGAGCCGGAGGGAGGCCCUGGCAGGGUAGGUACUGGGCCCUCCCCUCCCCCUCCGCAGGAGGUUUUCUAGACCCUGCUUCCCUGCCACAGCCCCACACAGGCCCCUUUCCUGUCUGAGCCUCAGUUUCCCGGUUCCCUCCUGUAGGAAGCCGCCCUACUCUCCUGCUGGCAAUGCCAACGGAGAGCACUGUUACCAACCCACCCACUGCCCGGGACUGGGGCCCAGGGUUCCUCCAGGAGGUGGUUUUGGGAGAUCUGAAACCAGCCCCCAGAGAGGAGUCUUCCUGAGGCUCCCUAAGCUUCUGACCACCUGGCCUUACUACCUAUAAGGGCUGUGACGCCACCGAGGGACCAGGAGGACUAUUUGAGAACAUUUGAGGGGCAAGGGACCCUGAGGCCAGCCAUGCCCAGGCCUCAGGCCUCCAGGGUUCCAUUCAGCCAGCAAGCUCCAGCUUUCCUUUGCCUGAAGUCGAUAUCGUCACCGGUAGACCUGCGUGUGACUCUACGGGGAACGUGCUAUCCCUCCACGUUCUGCCUCUAGCAAACCCAGGAAAGGGAAAUCAAGGUGAAAUGUAAGGAAGGGGGGGCGCCCAGGGCAUCACUGUGGCUGGGUUUAACUCGAAUCCUCUGCCUUCAUUGGAACCCACCGUUUAGCACAACAAGGGUUACGCAUGUAAGUGGACCCUGGUCGUAUGAAAAGUUCCAUCUGCUAAAUGGGAAUGUUUCUUUAGGAAGGGGUUGCUCCUUAAAGCCCAUUCCUCCCAACUAAGCAAUGCCAACGCCCACUGUCUGCUCAGGCAGACCUCUCUAUGACGAUGCCCAGAAAGCUGGCCAGUGCAGCAUAAAGCAGUCCUCUGUUUGCCCUUGGCCUUGGGUGUAGCCUCUAGCAGUUCCGUAGGACGCACAAGGCCGCUGAAGGCCAAUUGAAAUGUGAUAAGUUCUGUAAGCAGGGACUGUGCCCCUGACCCUGGCCAGCUGCUUCUCCAGGAUUUGAAACAGCUGGUCUAGGCCGCAAGGGAACCUGGUCCCAAGGACGGUGGCUAACUCCAUGUGGCCCACCCCUGCUCCAAGAAGCCCAAGCCCAAAACUCUCAAGGUCCUCCCCACACCCUGGAAAGCACGCCUCUAGAGGAACAAGAACCUUCUAGAGGUAGAAGGAUGUUGCUCCCUCCUCGGACAGAGCUAGAUAAUUACUGCAGCCUCGCUAAGAACAAUGCCUCCAGAGCCUGGUGUGGACACUGAAGCCUUAGGAGGGCAAGGAGCCUACCCUGGGCUCCUUCCUCUUCACCUGCUGCCUCCCCAAGAAGGGGUCUUGAUUUGCCCCCCCACCCUCCCACCCAAGGAGGCUGCUCACAUCCUUGGCCAAUGUGUGGUGCCCUCUGCCUGUUGCAGGAUGAGACAAGCAACACAGUCUCAGAAGCCCCACCCCUGCAUCCUCCCGGUGCGCCCCUCCCAGGGGGUGGUCCUGGGUUGGCACAUUAAACACAGCCAAGUAGCCAGGGAGCCGAGGCUGAAUGGCAGGAAAGGCUGAAGCCAGGGUGGCCCCUCGCCUACCUGCCCAACCCAGCGAUUCAAAGCAAGGCUGAGGCCGGAUAAAGCACUUGAAAAUGUCAGUCAGGGAACAAUCUCUUUCCCAAACUCCCUGCCUUUGACCUUGGGCACCCAGCCCUGACCUUGGGAUGGGCUGAUCUUUUUCUCAGCUCUGCCGACUCCAUCCCCAGUCCCUUCACACACACACACACACGCAUGCACGCACGCACAAGCACGCACUGUGACAACUGGACUUUUUGCUGUAAUCACAGAAUUACAGAACUGCUCAUUUGCGGGGGCCAAAAAAUGGUUUAUAAGCAGACCACACUGGGUCCCAGACAGCCGGAACCAACAUUCUUCUGAGCAUUUAAAAUGGUAAAAGCGUCAAGAAAGCCUGUGGCCAAAAUGGACAGGACCCCAGGGACCAUCUGGCAGUCCCCAGCCUUCAUUCAUUUGAGCAGUUUGUAACUUUCAUCUAAUGUAUCUUUAUGUAUUUUUCCCUAAUGUCGGUGAAAAUAACACACAAGCCUCGUCAAAAUGAA